rnacentral:rRNA from 1 species
UGGGGAAUUUUGCACAAUGGGGGAAACCCUGAUGCAGCGACGCCGCGUGAUUUAGAAGGCCUUCGGGUUGUAAAAAUCUUUUCUAUGGGAAGAAAAUUACAGUACCAUAGGAAUAAGGACCGGCUAAUUACGUGCCAGCAGCCGCGGUAAUACGUAAGGUCCGAGCGUUGUCCGGAAUCAUUGGGCGUAAAGGGUACGUAGGCAGGUAAGCAAGUUAGAAGUGAAAUCCUAUAGCUCAACUAUAGUAAGCUUUUAAAACUGCUCAUCUUGAGGUAUGGAAGGGAAAGUGGAAUUCCUAGUGUAGCGGUGAAAUGCGCAGAUAUUAGGAGGAAUACCGGUGGCGAAGGCGACUUUCUGGCCAUAACCUGACGCUGAGGUACGAAAGCGUGGGUAGCAAACAGG